rnacentral:rRNA from 1 species
GGUUAAGCGACUAAGCGUACACGGUGGAUGCCCUGGCAGUCAGAGGCGAUGAAGGACGUGCUAAUCUGCGAUAAGCGUCGGUAAGGUGAUAUGAACCGUUAUAACCGGCGAUUUCCGAAUGGGGAAACCCAGUGUGUUUCGACACACUAUCAUUAACUGAAUCCAUAGGUUAAUGAGGCGAACCGGGGGAACUGAAACAUCUAAGUACCCCGAGGAAAAGAAAUCAACCGAGAUUCCCCCAGUAGCGGCGAGCGAACGGGGAGCAGCCCAGAGCCUGAAUCAGUGUGUGUGUUAGUGGAAGCGUCUGGAAAGGCGUGCGAUACAGGGUGACAGCCCCGUACACAAAAAUGCACAUAUUGUGAGCUCGAUGAGUAGGGCGGGACACGUGGUAUCCUGUCUGAAUAUGGGGGGACCAUCCUCCAAGGCUAAAUACUCCUGACUGACCGAUAGUGAACCAGUACCGUGAGGGAAAGGCGAAAAGAACCCCGGCGAGGGGAGUGAAAAAGAACCUGAAACCGUGUACGUACAAGCAGUGGGAGCACGCUUAGGCGUGUGACUGCGUACCUUUUGUAUAAUGGGUCAGCGACUUAUAUUCUGUAGCAAGGUUAACCGAAUAGGGGAGCCGAAGGGAAACCGAGUCUUAACUGGGCGUUAAGUUGCAGGGUAUAGACCCGAAACCCGGUGAUCUAGCCAUGGGCAGGUUGAAGGUUGGGUAACACUAACUGGAGGACCGAACCGACUAAUGUUGAAAAAUUAGCGGAUGACUUGUGGCUGGGGGUGAAAGGCCAAUCAAACCGGGAGAUAGCUGGUUCUCCCCGAAAGCUAUUUAGGUAGCGCCUCGUGAAUUCAUCUCCGGGGGUAGAGCACUGUUUCGGCAAGGGGGUCAUCCCGACUUACCAACCCGAUGCAAACUGCGAAUACCGGAGAAUGUUAUCACGGGAGACACACGGCGGGUGCUAACGUCCGUCGUGAAGAGGGAAACAACCCAGACCGCCAGCUAAGGUCCCAAAGUCAUGGUUAAGUGGGAAACGAUGUGGGAAGGCCCAGACAGCCAGGAUGUUGGCUUAGAAGCAGCCAUCAUUUAAAGAAAGCGUAAUAGCUCACUGGUCGAGUCGGCCUGCGCGGAAGAUGUAACGGGGCUAAACCAUGCACCGAAGCUGCGGCAGCGACGCUUAUGCGUUGUUGGGUAGGGGAGCGUUCUGUAAGCCUGUGAAGGUGUACUGUGAGGUAUGCUGGAGGUAUCAGAAGUGCGAAUGCUGACAUAAGUAACGAUAAAGCGGGUGAAAAGCCCGCUCGCCGGAAGACCAAGGGUUCCUGUCCAACGUUAAUCGGGGCAGGGUGAGUCGACCCCUAAGGCGAGGCCGAAAGGCGUAGUCGAUGGGAAACAGGUUAAUAUUCCUGUACUUGGUGUUACUGCGAAGGGGGGACGGAGAAGGCUAUGUUGGCCGGGCGACGGUUGUCCCGGUUUAAGCGUGUAGGCUGGUUUUCCAGGCAAAUCCGGAAAAUCAAGGCUGAGGCGUGAUGACGAGGCACUACGGUGCUGAAGCAACAAAUGCCCUGCUUCCAGGAAAAGCCUCUAAGCAUCAGGUAACAUCAAAUCGUACCCCAAACCGACACAGGUGGUCAGGUAGAGAAUACCAAGGCGCUUGAGAGAACUCGGGUGAAGGAACUAGGCAAAAUGGUGCCGUAACUUCGGGAGAAGGCACGCUGAUAUGUAGGUGAAGCGACUUGCUCGUGGAGCUGAAAUCAGUCGAAGAUACCAGCUGGCUGCAACUGUUUAUUAAAAACACAGCACUGUGCAAACACGAAAGUGGACGUAUACGGUGUGACGCCUGCCCGGUGCCGGAAGGUUAAUUGAUGGGGUCAGCGCAAGCGAAGCUCUUGAUCGAAGCCCCGGUAAACGGCGGCCGUAACUAUAACGGUCCUAAGGUAGCGAAAUUCCUUGUCGGGUAAGUUCCGACCUGCACGAAUGGCGUAAUGAUGGCCAGGCUGUCUCCACCCGAGACUCAGUGAAAUUGAACUCGCUGUGAAGAUGCAGUGUACCCGCGGCAAGACGGAAAGACCCCGUGAACCUUUACUAUAGCUUGACACUGAACAUUGAGCCUUGAUGUGUAGGAUAGGUGGGAGGCUUUGAAGUGUGGACGCCAGUCUGCAUGGAGCCGACCUUGAAAUACCACCCUUUAAUGUUUGAUGUUCUAACGUGGACCCGUAAUCCGGGUUGCGGACAGUGUCUGGUGGGUAGUUUGACUGGGGCGGUCUCCUCCUAAAGAGUAACGGAGGAGCACGAAGGUUGGCUAAUCCUGGUCGGACAUCAGGAGGUUAGUGCAAUGGCAUAAGCCAGCUUGACUGCGAGCGUGACGGCGCGAGCAGGUGCGAAAGCAGGUCAUAGUGAUCCGGUGGUUCUGAAUGGAAGGGCCAUCGCUCAACGGAUAAAAGGUACUCCGGGGAUAACAGGCUGAUACCGCCCAAGAGUUCAUAUCGACGGCGGUGUUUGGCACCUCGAUGUCGGCUCAUCACAUCCUGGGGCUGAAGUAGGUCCCAAGGGUAUGGCUGUUCGCCAUUUAAAGUGGUACGCGAGCUGGGUUUAGAAACGUCGUGAGACAGUUCGGUCCCUAUCUGCCGUGGGCGCUGGAGAACUGAGGGGGGCUGCUCCUAGUACGAGAGGACCGGAGUGGACGCAUCACUGGUGUUCGGGUUGUCAUGCCAAUGGCACUGCCCGGUAGCUAAAUGCGGAAGAGAUAAGUGCUGAAAGCAUCUAAGCACGAAACUUGCCCCGAGAUGAGUUCUCCCUGACUCCUUGAGAGUCCUGAAGGAACGUUGAAGACGACGACGUUGAUAGGCCGGGUGUGUAAGCGCAGCGAUGCGUUGAGCUAACCGGUACUAAUGAACCGUGAGGCUUAACCUUAC